ensembl:snRNA U4 U4 spliceosomal RNA
AGCUUUGCGCAGUGGCAGUAUCGUAGCCAAUGAGGUUUAGCCAAGGCGCGAUUAUUGCUAAUAGAAAGCCACCCAGAGUUUGAGAGGGCCUAAAUGUUCACAGCCAGAACAAUGAAAUGAGUCAAUAUGUUGA